UAACAAGGAUUCCCCUAGUAACUGCGAGUGAAGCGGGAAAAGCUCAAAUUUAAAAUCUGGCAGUCUUUGGCUGUCCGAGUUGUAAUCUAAAGAAGUGUUAUCCGCGCUGGACCGUGUACAAGUCUCCUGGAAUGGAGCGUCAUAGAGGGUGAGAAUCCCGUCUUUGACACGGACUGCCAGUGCUUUGUGAUGCGCUCUCAAAGAGUCGAGUUGUUUGGGAAUGCAGCUCAAAAUGGGUGGUAAAUUCCAUCUAAAGCUAAAUAUUGGCGAGAGACCGAUAGCGAACAAGUACCGUGAGGGAAAGAUGAAAAGAACUUUGGAAAGAGAGUUAAACAGUACGUGAAAUUGCUGAAAGGGAAACGCUUGAAGUCAGUCGCAUUGGCUGAGAAUCAACCUUGCUUUUGCUGGGUGUACUUCUCAGUCAAUGGGUCAACAUCAAUUUUGACUGUUGGAUAAAGUCUGAAGGAAUGUGGCAUCUUCGGAUGUGUUAUAGCCUUUAGUCGCAUACAACAGUUGGGAUUGAGGAACUCAGCACGCCGCAAGGGCGGGUACUGUCCACGUUCGUGCUUAGGAUGCUGGCAUAAUGGCUUUAAUCGACCCGUCUUGAAACACGGACCAAGGAGUCUAACAUGCCUGCGAGUAUUUGGGUGGAAAACCCGAGUGCGUAAUGAAAGUGAAAGUUGAGAUCCCUGUCAUGGGGAGCAUUGACGCCCGGACCAGACCUUUUGUGACGGAUCUGCGGUAGAGCAUGUAUGUUGGGACCCGAAAGAUGGUGAACUAUGCCUGAAUAGGGUGAAGCCAGAGGAAACUCUGGUGGAGGCUCGUAGCGAUUCUGACGUGCAAAUCGAUCGUCAAAUUUGGGUAUAGGGGCGAAAGACUAAUCGAACCAU
rnacentral:rRNA from 1 species